UACGUAGGGGGCGAGCGUUGUCCGGAAUUAUUGGGCGUAAAGAGCGUGUAGGCGGUUCGGUAAGUCUGCCGUGAAAACCUGGGGCUCAACCCCGGGCGUGCGGUGGAUACUGCCGGAGCUAGAGGGUGGUAGAGGCGAGUGGAAUUCCCGGUGUAGCGGUGAAAUGCGCAGAUAUCAGGAAGAACACCUAUGGCGAAGGCAGCUCUCUGGGACGGUACUGACGCUGAGACGCGAAAGCGUGGGGAGCGAACAGG
rnacentral:rRNA from 1 species